rnacentral:misc_RNA from 1 species
GAAAUAAAACUGAACAGGCUGUUUGCUGGUCCUCUCGAGGGCAUGUGCACGCCUGUCGUCUUUAUUCUUCCAACCGUGCACAUAUUGUAGGCCUGGAGUUUUUUCUUAUCGUUCGAAUAGAUUGAGGACUGCCGUCGAGGCUUUGCCUUGUGAUUCCAGGUCUAUGUUGUAAUACAUUUUCACAACGUGUUUUAAGAAUGUCGAGUACUGGGGAUAACAAAUAUACAACUUUCAGCAACGGAUCUCUUGGCUCU